ensembl:lncRNA
CUUGAGACCAGGUCUUUCUGUGUAGACCAGGUUGGCCUGGAACUCACAAUCCUCCCUCCUCAGCCUCCCAAGUUGUGAAAUCAUAGGUGUGUGGCCCUGUGUCUGCAUCUCUACUACUUCCUCCAUAAGGUUUCACUUUGGAAGGCCUCUGUCUCCCAGAGACUCAAAACCCUGAAGCAUUUCUCAGUUCACCUGUUUAGGACUGAAGACUUUUAGAGAUUAUCUAUCAGAUACUCAAACUUUGAAGGAUUUCUCACAUCUCCUUGUCAGGACUCAAGAUUGAGAGCUUAUCUUUCAGCCUCAGGACUUGACAGAGACAGAAUACAACUAUAAUUUCAUGGCAACCCCAAACCCCAGCAGUGACUGCUCAGACUCAGAGCAGCCCCAUUUGAAAGUAAAUUCCACAGAGAGCUUCCCAGGGGGUGAUCUCCCUGCUUCCCACCCCUUUCACCAAGAGACCAAAACCUCCUUCAGAGGUUACAUCUGUCGCCAGGAGACGACAACCUUCUAUGAAGGAUGUGUUGUGGGUUCUUCAGUCAACAACCUCCCCACUGUGGAAGAACCAGAGGACACACAAAGUCUAGGAAGAUGCAAGGACCACAACUCUCACACUGAGGACAACCCCAACUUGGUGUGUGCACCAAAUACUGGCGUUGAAGAGGAUGAGGACACAGACUCAGGCAGCAAAGGAGCAGGAGCUGAUCAAAUUGUUACUGACAACGACCAGCAGAUAAACAAGAAUUCAACAUUCAGAGGGCAACGGAUUGACCACGUGGAUGGCUCGCCAGUAAUUCAGCUUGUCAGUCCUAAACUCACCCAGGAACAAGCAGCAGAAGAGAGGAACAAGGAGGAGAGAAAGGAGAAAAGCGAAAGCAGUGAGGAUGAGGAUAAGGAAGCUGAUAAACAAAUUGAAAAUGGUGAAAACCAAGAUGAAGGCAUGCUAAUGGGAUCAACUGAACAAGAAAAAAAGGACAUGGAGAUCAAGAACAACAAAGACAUGGAGAGUAAUAAAAAAGAGUAUGUGGAGCUUUAUGCACAAAUCCAGGUGUAUGAAAGAUCUGAUGACACCAGGCUACCUGAUUCCAAUGAGGACAAUGGAAAAGAGAACAGUGAGAGCCACAAGGAGAAGGAAGAAAUACAAAUCAAUGAAGAACCUCAGGAUGCUGAUAAACAAAGCCAUGGCUAUGACAAAGACAAUGCCCUCCAGCUCCAAGAUCCACCCGAGGAAAACUUCCAGCUGGGCAGCAGAUCCCCUCCUCAUCCAGCUCAGGUCCUGUGUGAAGAACAGUGUACAUGUGAGGACCUGCCUGCCUGUAAACCACCAGAAAAUACAGAAGUCACCCAAGUCCCAGAGAUGCCAGCGAUGCUCCCAAAAGAUGAACCAGCUGAGAUGCUGAAGACCAGCACUGAGGGGUCCUCCUCGGUCUCCUCUGUGGAGGCAGAGGAGGACGACACUGGAUCUGACACACAAACCACAACCUAUGUGAACUGGAGGCAGGCCUUUCACUCGCUCUGGAAAAGAGUCCUCGCAUGUCUGGGGAGGAGAGUGAUGGUCAGCAGCCCACCAUCAACCCCAACCGAGAAAAGUCUUCCCACCUCCAAGGAAACCCACCCUGAAUAAACCCUCAGUGAUUAGCACAACUCAGUGCACUAAGCACACUAAGCAGUGUAAUGGCCUCACUUCUAUAGUUUUACAGUUUUAUUGUUUUUAAUAAGAGGAAGGUUCUUGUUCUCUGUGUCUGCUUCCUCCAGCACAUCUUCUCUAUGCAGGUUGAAAGGAGCCAGGCUGUGCAGAGGACUGAAAUGCAUUCUCAGCAACUUGCAGGUAGCAUGGUGCUUCCUGAAGAGAAAGUGUGCUGCUUCUCUCCCUUCUCUCCUGCUGCCCAGGUUUUCUUCAAUCUUGACUUUAUCCAUUUCAGGGAUUUCAUCCUGUUCUGUCACUAACUCACGUCUCCAGGUUUACAAAACAGCAGCACAACCAAGGUGGCAUGCUUUGGGGUGAUCUUCCAGGGCCUGAGCAAGCAGCAGUGCAGAUCCAGUCACUGAGGAGGGCGACUCCAGUUGACAGUGUUUGGGGCGUGCAGAAAGCAAUUGUCAUGGUCCUGGGGCACCAGGCUGCUUCUGGCAUCUUGGUGACUCCUAAAAACAACAGAGAUCUUCAUCCAUUUCUCCUUAAAAUGAAGGAGGAGAAAGUCUUGGUGGAAGGGGUUGGUGGUGGCAUGAGACACUCAGAGCCACAAUAGGGAAAGACCACAGCCACAAUCCUGGGCCCUUAACCCAUUGCUCAGGAUUUGUGUUUACUCUGAGGCAGAUAGAAUCAAAGACUGCUUUGGCCAAAACAUCGCAGUAACCCAUCUCUUGGGCCUAGAGAUGUCAAAGUAUAAAAAUCUUCACGUUUCUUCUGUUACUUUCCAUACAUAACAGAGAUGAAGAACAAAAUAUUACACAAACCUAUUAAUAACGAAAUGUCAGCCAUGCUCAGUAGGACACUCCUGCAAUUCCAGCUACUCUGGAGGAUAAGGAGGGGGAUCCAAGC